ensembl:snoRNA Gm24670 small nucleolar RNA SNORA17
UUUGCCCCUAGAGUCUGUGCAGGUGUGGCUCCUGUGUCACGUGUACAUCAGCAGGUGGCAAAGAGGAGAGAGGCUGUGUCUCUGCUCAGUGUUCGGACCUGUAAAUAUCUGAAUAACUGGUAGCUCAAUACU